CACUAUUAUCCGGGCCUCGGGAUUGGCGCGUUCUUUCCUUCCGCGCGGUUGGAAGAGGUAGGCGGUUGUCGGUUCGUUGGCGGACGCAGGAAGCUUGUAAAGCAGACAGUAAGUGAUGGACAAGUCAGAAAUGGACCCUCUUGACCACAUGACAUCUGAUGCAACUAUGGAAAUUGAUAAUGAAAGUGAUGACAGUUCAUCUGGUAGCAGUGUGUUUAAAACUCAAUGUGUUCCUUCCUCACCUAAAUGGAGACCCAAAAACCCCAUUAGAAAACCUAUUCAUUCAUCUAAAAUUGUCGAAACAACAGAUUCUUCAAGUGAUUCAUCUGUAGAACCAAGGCCAUUGACACUAAAAGCGCUUAUUGCAAAAUUUAAGAAAAAGAAACGUAAAAGGAGAAAACAGAAAUACAAGGCAACAGGGAGGCCAGUAGGCAGGCCUAAAGGACGGAAAAACACUAAAUCACAUGUAGAUAAAAACCAAUUUAAAGACAAAGGGCCUAGGUUCUCAUUUUUAGAGUCAGAGAAUGGAACUCAACCAUCACCUUGGAGGAAAAUUUUAACCUUUGAGCAAGCAGUUGCAAGAGGAUUUUUUAAUUACAUUGAAAAACUGAAGUAUGAAUAUCACCUGAAAGAAUCUCUGAAACAAAUGGAUGUUGGUGAUGAUUUAGAAAAAGAAGAUCUUGACAGUCGAAGAUACAAGUAUUUGGAUGAUGAUGGGUCUAUAUCUCCUAUUGAAGAAUCAGUAGCAGAGGAUGAGGAAGCAGCACACCCUGAACAGGAGGAAUGUGAUAUCAAAUUGGUAGACAGUAGUUGUUUCAUAAUAAAUUCGGAAUUCCCAAAACUGAUGAGUGUGAAUUCAGAACAGAAUGUGAAAGAAGCUGUUUCAUCUAAAAAGAGAGCCUCAAAGGUCAAAAACACUGCACAGAAGACGGAACCUCCUGAAAAGGAGACAGCAACAGGAAACUCAACGAAGGCUCUUAUCUUCAACAAGUCUGGAGUUGAAAGUGUAUCUUAAUGAAAAAAAUACAGCCAUUCACAUGUGUGUGUGUCAAGAAUCAGGCAAGUACAUCUAUUCUAUGAAAACACGAGUAAAUUGCUUGAAGAAAUUCCAAAGAUUUUAGGUGGAAUUUUGAAGUUAUGUAAUUCAAGUGAGGAUUAACAGACAAGAAAUUGUGGCAAG